CCUCCCACCGAGAUGCACUCAGGGCCCACUAGAUUUUGGAGACAAAGACUCGUUGUCUUCCAGCAUUGAAUGUUCCUGUGGAGAGAAGUCUGAAGCCAGCUUGGUCAUCUACUUCGUGGAUUUCUCACAUCAUUGUACUCCACUGGUGUCCCUCUCAUCUGGACUCCUGAAGGUGGCCCCAUGACUUGGAAUAUCUCAGUAAUUGCACCCAGCCUGCCUCCUUCAUCAGAUUUUGGACUCAUCAAGCCUCCACAAUCACAUGAGCCAAUUGCUUAAAAUAAAUCUCUUUCUGUAUUUAUAUAUACACAUCCUAUUGGGUCUGUUUCUCUGGAGAAGCCUCACUAAUACA